rnacentral:tRNA from 1 species
UAAAAAUUAGUUAAAUUUUAUAAUAUUAAAAUGUCAUUUUAAAGUUAUUAAUUAUUAUUAAUAUUUUUAU